UACGAAGGGGGCUAGCGUUGCUCGGAAUCACUGGGCGUAAAGGGUGCGUAGGCGGGUCUUAAGUCAGGGGUGAAAUCCUGGAGCUCAACUCCAGAACUGCCUUUGAUACUGAGGAUCUUGAGUUCGGGAGAGGUGAGUGGAACUGCGAGUGUAGAGGUGAAAUUCGUAGAUAUUCGCAAGAACACCAGUGGCGAAGGCGGCUCACUGGCCCGAUACUGACGCUGAGGUGCGAAAGCGUGGGGAGCAAACAG
rnacentral:rRNA from 1 species